rnacentral:misc_RNA from 1 species
AGUUAGCACCUUAGUCACUGGCCUCGCACUUCGCUAGUCAUGGCUGCUUCUGUAUCUUCUUUGGUCUUUUUGUUAUUGGUUUUAGGUGGACUUGGUUUUUGCAUGGCCAGCCAGAUUGGCUUGGGUUCGAGAUUGCUGGCCAGUGAAGAUCGAGCAUGGGUUUCAGAUAAUGGCACAUUUGCAUUUGGGUUCACUAAAGCAGACAGUACUCAUGAACAAUUUCAACUCGCAAUUUGGUUCGCGGAUCUUCCUGGAGAUCCAACCGUGGUCUGGUCAGCUAACAGAAACUCUCCGGUCACCAAAGACGCGUCCUUGGAGCUGGACACCACCGGCAACCUCUUUCUCAUUGAUGGAGACACCACCGUAUGGAUGUCAAACACCUCCGGUGCUGGCGUCGAAACAGCAGUCAUGACAGAAUCCGGCAACUUCAUCCUCUUCACAAGCACCAACCACACUGCUUGGCAAAGUUUUUCACACCCAUCAGAUACUCUCCUCCCGAACCAGCCUUUAACAGUCUCUCUUGAGCUAACAUCUCCAAAAUCACCUUUACAUGGUGGGCAUUACUCACUUAAAAUGCUACAACAGCCCACCUCACUCAGCCUCGCUUUGACAUAUAACUUGCCUGAAUCAUAUGAUGCUUCCCCUAAAGCUUACGCCAACUAUUCCUAUUGGCCUGGACCCGACAUUUCCAAUGUUACUGGGGAUGUUGUUGGGGUCUUAGACGAAGCUGGAAGCUUUGGAAUCGUGUAUGGAGAGUCAUCCAAUGGAGCGGUUUACGUGCAUAAAAACGAUGGCGAUUAUAAUGGUUUAUCUUCUGCUACAAAUCAAUCAACUCGGUUAUCAGUUCGUCGAAGAUUGAUACUUGAGACUAAUGGGAAUUUACGUUUGUAUAGAUGGGAUAAUGAUGUUAAUGGUUCCCGCCAGUGGAUAGCCGAGUGGGCAGCAUUGUCGAACCCUUGUGAUAUUGCUGGUGUUUGUGGUAAUGGGAUAUGUAGUUUGGACAGAAGCAAGACUAAUGCUUCUUGUACAUGCUUGCCUGGUACUUCUAAGGUAGGCAAUGGCAUAUGCUCAGAGAACUCAUCAUUGAUUGGAAAAUGUGAUGCGGCAAACGUAAAUCACACUUCUGAGUUUAGGAUGGCCACGGUGCAGCAAACCGAUUACUAUUUCCCUGAAUUUUCAGUUAUAGCUAAUUACAGCGAUAUUCCCACAGUGUCCAAGUGCGGCGACGCUUGUUUAUUGGAUUGUGAGUGUAUGGCCUCUGUUUAUGGGCUUGACGAUGAGAAGCCUUACUGUUGGCUGUUGAGGAGCUUGGACUUUGGUGGAUAUGAAGACCCUGGCUACACUUUGUUCGUCAAGGUCAGGUCGAAUGGUUCCGUGGCUCCAGCAGGAGAUAAGAGGGGAUCGGGUGACGGGUCUGGGGAAAACAAAGGGACGGUCUUGGUUCUCCCUAUAGUUCUCAGCAUGACAUUUCUUAUGGGCCUCCUCUCCCUAUUGUUAUAUUACAAUGUUCAUAAAAGGAGAUCUUUGAAAAGAGCUAUGGAGGGUGCUUUCAUUCUUUCUGGGGCUCCAAUAAAUUUUAGCUAUCGUGACUUGCAGGUUCGUACCUCCAAUUUCUCACACCUGCUUGGAACAGGAGGAUUUGGGAGUGUGUACAAGGGAAGCCUUGCUGAUGGGACUUUGAUUGCUGUAAAGAAAUUGGACAAGGUCUUGCCUCAUGGAGAGAAGGAAUUUAUAACUGAAGUGAACACCAUUGGCUCCAUGCACCACAUGAACCUGGUUCGUCUAUGUGGGUACUGCUCUGAAGGAUCGCACCGUCUUCUUGUUUACGAGUUCAUGAAAAAUGGGUCCUUGGACAAAUGGAUAUUUCCUUCCUAUAAUUGCCAGAGCAGAUUGCUGGAUUGGUCUACUCGUUUCCAUAUAGCCAUUGCUACUGCACAAGGAAUCGCAUACUUCCACGAGCAGUGCAGAAAUCGGAUAAUACACUGCGAUAUCAAACCGGAGAACAUCUUAUUAGAUGAAAAUUUCUGCCCCAAAGUAUCAGAUUUUGGAUUAGCUAAGCUAAUGGGAAGAGAACACUCACAUGUUAUUACUAUGGUCAGAGGAACUAGAGGAUAUUUAGCUCCAGAGUGGGUCGGCAACAGGCCUAUAACCGUAAAGGCCGAUGUUUAUAGUUAUGGAAUGCUACUUCUGGAGGUCAUCGGUGGUCGGAGGAACCUCGACAUGUCUUUUGAUGAAGAGGACUUCUUUUACCCCGGAUGGGCUUUUAAGGAGAUGACAAAUGGGAUGCCGAUGAAAGCAGCAGAUAGAAGACUGGAAGGCGCAGUUAAAGAAGAAGAAUUGAUGAGAGCGCUGAAGGUUGCCUUCUGGUGCAUUCAAGAUGAAGUGUUUAUGAGACCUUCAAUGGGAGAAGUGGUGAGGAUGUUAGAAGGAUCAAUGGAGAUGAACACACCACCAAUGCCACAGACUGUCUUGGAACUAAUAGAGGAAGGAUUAGAUCACGUAUACAAGGCCAUGAAGAGAGAACUAAACCAGUUUAGCUCCUUCACCAUCACUAGUCAUGAUCCUUCAUCUCUUGCUACUUGCAGUUUAUUCAACAAUGUCACCUAGAUAGCCUGCUUUGAAUCAGCAAUUUCUUCACUGACACACAUAUUAACCAAGAGAAAUUAAGGCCGAGUCCAGGUUCUCUAUGGGCUGCAAACUGUAUUCAUAGUGGUCUUUUUAAGUCAUCUACUUGGAUUUUCUUGCUCAGUAGCGUUGGGCUUUUCUGCGAGGCUUUGUUUUUCUCUUUACUGGUUAAUCUUAUUGAAGGAAUUAAUUUUUCUUUCUGGCCGUCAUUUGUUUAUUUAUAAUAUUAAAGUUUGUCAUGCAAUACUAUAAUAGAUUUCAACGCCCUUAGCUAAUAGAUGUAACCAGGUGACAUUUAAUAAAAUAUUGG